AAUUAAGGAACAAUUCUGAUAUUUUUAACCUUCCCGAUCGGCAGCGAAGUCGGACCCUACCUAGAAAACCCCUUAAUUUCCCAUGUUACCCAGGUUGCGGCCGUUCUUCGGUUCCUAGCAACCGGGUCGUAUCAACUGGGGGUGGCGAAGGAUCACGAUGUCAAUAUUGGAAGGAGCACAUUUUCCAAAAUUUUGCACAAAGUGGUGGGAGCGUUGGAGUGCUUGUGCACUGAAAACAUUUCCACCCAACAAACGCCGGUUGAGAUAGAUCAAUCCAAGGACUACUUUUUUGAAAAAUUUGCAUUUCCAAAUGUAAUUGCGUGUGUGGAUGGAACGCACGUUAAAAUUAUAAAGCCAGUUAAGGACUCAUCAUUAUAUUUGAAUCGUAAAGGCUACUUCAGCAUAAAUGCAAUGGUGGUAUGCAACUGGAGAUAAUAUGGAGAUAUUAGCAAUAGAUGCUACACAUCCAGGAUCAUGUCACGAUUCCUUUAUUUGGAACAACAGUAGAACAAGAGAAUUUUUCUCUACAACCAGUGGUUUCUUUGUAUUAGCAGAUUCAGGAUAUGCGUUGAAACCGUUUGUGCUAACACCUUAUCGUAGUCCGCAAAAUGAAAGUAUGCAGCAUGUAUUCAAUUUAAAGCACGCAGCAGCUCGGAAUAUUGUUGAGAGGACUAUUGGUCUACUAAAAAGUAGAUU